GAAGGUGUAACUCAGUAGUACAGUGCAUGUUUAGCAUGCAUGAGGCUCCAGGUUCAAUCCCCAGCACCCCCC
rnacentral:tRNA from 1 species